rnacentral:rRNA from 1 species
GAAGGUUGGCUAAUCCUGGUCGGACAUCAGGAGGUUAGUGCAAUGGCAUAAGCCAGCUUGACUGCGAGCGUGACGGCGCGAGCAGGUGCGAAAGCAGGUCAUAGUGAUCCGGUGGUUCUGAAUGGAAGGGCCAUCGCUCAACGGAUAAAAGGUACUCCGGGGAUAACAGGCUGAUACCGCCCAAGAGUUCAUAUCGACGGCGGUGUUUGGCACCUCGAUGUCGGCUCAUCACAUCCUGGGGCUGAAGUAGGUCCCAAGGGUAUGGCUGUUCGCCAUUUAAAGUGGUACGCGAGCUGGGUUUAGAACGUCGUGAGACAGUUCGGUCCCUAUCUGCCGUGGGCGCUGGAGAACUGAGGGGGGCUGCUCCUAGUACGAGAGGACCGGAGUGGACGCAUCACUGGUGUUCGGGUUGUCAUGCCAAUGGCACUGCCCGGUAGCUAAAUGCGGAAGAGAUAAGUGCUGAAAGCAUCUAAGCACGAAACUUGCCCCGAGAUGAGUUCUCCCUGACUCCUUGAGAGUCCUGAAGGAACGUUGAAGACGACGACGUUGAUAGGCCGGGUGUGUAAGCGCAGCGAUGCGUUGAGCUAACCGGUACUAAUGAACCGUGAGGCUUAACCUUACAACGCCG